CUUAACCAUUAGUUUACUAUUGGAGCGGUUAGUGGCGGACUGGUGAGUAACACGUAAGCAACCUGCCUGUUAAGGGGAACAACAGUUAGAAAUGACUGCUAAUACCGCAUAUGCCUUAAUAUCUGCAUGGAUAUAGAGGGAAAGGAGCAAUCCGCUAACAGAUGGGCUUGCGUCUGAUUAGUUAGUUGGUGAGGUAACGGCCCACCAAGACGAUGAUCAGUAGCCGGACUGAGAGGUUGAACGGCCACAUUGGGACUGAGAUACGGCCCAGACUCCUACGGGAGGCAGCAGUCGGGAAUAUUGCGCAAUGGAGGAAACUCUGACGCAGUGACGCCGCGUGCAGGAAGACGGUUUUCGGAUUGUAAACUUCUGUUCUUAGUGAAGAUAGUGACGGUAGCUAAGGAGCAAGCCACGGCUAACUACGUGCC
rnacentral:rRNA from 2 species